UUCCUACGGGUGGCAGCAGUGGGGAAUAUUGGACAAUGGGGGCAACCCUGAUCCAGCAAUGCCGCGUGAGUGAUGAAGGCCUUAGGGUUGUAAAGCUCUUUUACCGGGGACGAUGAUGACGGUACCCGGAGACUAAGCCCCGGCUAACUUCGUGCCAGCAGCCGCGGUAAUACGAAGGGGGCGAGCGUUGUUCGGAGUUACUGGGCGUAAAGGGCGCGUAGGCGGCGUCCCAAGUUAGGCGUGAAAGCCCCGGGCUCAACCUGGGAAUUGCGCUGAAGACUGGGAUGCUCGAGUGCGGAAGAGGUGAGUGGAAUUCCCAGUGUAGAGGUGAAAUUCGUAGAUAUUGGGAAGAACACCAGUGGCGAAGGCGGCUCACUGGUCCGCAACUGACGCUGAGGCGCGAAAGCGUGGGGAGCAAACAGGAUUAGAUACCCCUGUAGUCA
rnacentral:rRNA from 1 species